rnacentral:tRNA from 1 species
GCCCCUUUAGCUCAAUCGGUAGAGCAAAUGACUCUUAAUCAUUAGGUCGUAGGUUCGAUCCCUACAGGGGGCA